rnacentral:rRNA from 1 species
GGGGAAUAUUGCACAAUGGGGGAAACCCUGAUGCAGCGACGCCGCGUGGAGGAAGAAGGUCUUCGGAUUGUAAACUCCUGUUGUUGGGGAAGAUAAUGACGGUACCCAACAAGGAAGUGACGGCUAACUACGUGCCAGCAGCCGCGGUAAAACGUAGGUCACAAGCGUUGUCCGGAAUUACUGGGUGUAAAGGGAGCGCAGGCGGGAAGACAAGUUGGAAGUGAAAUCUAUGGGCUCAACCCAUAAACUGCUUUCAAAACUGUUUUUCUUGAGUAGUGCAGAGGUAGGCGGAAUUCCCGGUGUAGCGGUGGAAUGCGUAGAUAUCGGGAGGAACACCAGUGGCGAAGGCGGCCUACUGGGCACCAACUGACGCUGAGGCUCGAAAGUGUGGGUAGCAAACAGGAUUAGAUACCCUGGUAGUCCACACCGUAAACGAUGAUUACUAGGUGUUGGAGGAUUGACCCCUUCAGUGCCGCAGUUAACACAAUAAGUAAUCCACCUGGGGAGUACGACCGCAAGGUUGAAACUCAAAGGAAUUGACGGGGGCCCGCACAAGCAGUGGAGUAUGUGGUUUAAUUCGACGCAACGCGAAGAACCUUACCAAGUCUUGACAUCCCUUGACAGACAUAGAAAUAUGUUUUCUCUUCGGAGCAAGGAGACAGGUGGUGCAUGGUUGUCGUCAGCUCGUGUCGUGAGAUGUUGGGUUAAGUCCCGCAACGAGCGCAACCCUUAUGGUCAGUUACUACGCAAGAGGACUCUGGCCAGACUGCUGUUGACAAAACGGAGGAAGGUGGGGAUGACGUCAAAUCAUCAUGCCCUUUAUGACUUGGGCUACACACGUACUACAAUGGCGUUAAACAAAGAGAAGCAAGACCGCGAGGUGGAGCAAAACUCAGAAACAACGUCCCAGUUCGGACUGCAGGCUGCAACUCGCCUGCACGAAGUCGGAAUUGCUAGUAAUCGUGGAUCAGCAUGCCACGGUGAAUACGUUCCCG